UUGUUCUUUGCUGGAGCUUGGUUUUCAAGUUUGGGCUUGGAAGCUUAGGUGCAGCUAUUGCGAUCAGUGUUUCUUACUGGCUUAACGCAACUGUGCUUGGAUUGUAUAUGACGUUUUCUUCUACCUGUAGCAAGACUCGUGGGAAGAUCUCCAUGAGUGUGUUUAAAGGAAUGAAAGAGUUUUUUCGAUUUGGAGUCCCAUCUGCAUCUAUGAUUUGGUAUGAACAACCUCUUUGUUUCUUAUUUGGUUUUGGUCACACUGUAAUGAUCAUAUUAUUGUGUGUUAUGGUGUUGAAUUAGCCUUGAGUGGUGGUCAUUCGAAUUUCUUGUCAUGCUCUCUGGAAUUCUACCAAAUCCAAAGCUAGAAACCUCUGUUCUCUCAGUGUGGUAUGUUCCUUAUCUUUUAAACCGGUCCUACCAUUUUAGGGACCAAAAACAAUUUAGUAAGAAUUUUGAUAAAUCUAUUUUCUUAUCAAUUUAGGAGCAUAUGUUCAUUUAUACUGAUUUAAAAAUUUUGGAGAGCAAAGACCAAUGUUUCACUUCUCUAAGCCCAUGACCGGCUUUGCUUGUAUUUUGGAAUGAAAUAUCAUCAUAUAAACUUACUUGCAUGCUUCCUUGUUUUAACAGUCUAUCAACAAUCUCCUCCUUGUACCAAAUACCGGAGAGUCUAGGCGCAGCAGCAAGGUUCUUUCUCUCUUUUUUUUUUUUAUUUAAUAAGAAAAGGAGAUAUCUAAAAACCAUCUGAUCACAGCUGUCUUUAUAUUUUAUUGGUGUUGUAUGCAGUACAAGAGUUGCAAACGAAUUGGGAGCUGGAAACCCAAAAAAAGCUCGAAUGGCGGUUUACACAGUGAUGGUUAUCACAGGAGUGGAAGCACUGAUGGUGAGUGCGAUAGUCUUUGCUGCAAGAAACGUAUUUGGUUACCUAUUCAGCUCUGAAACCGAAGUUGUGGAUUAUGUAAGAACAAUGGCUCCUCUGGUUUCUUUAUCAGUCAUAUUCGAUGCUCUUCACGCAGUUCUUUCAGGUUAGAAUCUGUUCCUAUAGUACUGUUGAAGUCAUUGAAUAAUUAAGAGACUAACUUAAUGAAUAAAAACAGGUGUGGCUAGAGGAUCAGGGAGGCAAGACAUUGGAGCAUAUGUUAACCUAGCUGCAUAUUAUCUUUUUGGAAUACCAACUGCUGUUGUAUUAGGAUUUACGUUUAAAAUGAGAGGAAGAGGACUCUGGAUUGGUAUCACGGUCGGGUCUUGUGUACAAGCUGUUUUGCUUGGUCUUAUCGUCAGCCUCACCAACUGGAAACAACAGGUUAGUAAAUUACUGAAAGUGAUACGUACGUCUUUUAAUUUGAUAUGUUGGUUUCAUACAUUUAAUGAUUGUAUGAUUAGUCCAUGUAAGAGAGUUAAGUGAAAGUGAUGUCUAUUUAAUAUUCAUGUGAAUCAUGUGGGCAUUGCAGGUGAGGAAGGCAAGAGAAAGAUUGAUGGGUGAUAAGUUUGAAGACGACGAACAUGUAGAGAUCAUCAGUUAAAAUCAAAAGAGUUAUUGGAUCAUUAUUUUGUCAUUUAAUGUUGUUUUUUUCAUAUUUCAGAAUACAGUAAAACAGUAAUGGGAAGGAUUAGAAUGUGCACACACAUGUACGUGCACAUGAGUUAUGGCAUCUACUUUCUUUCCCAUACACAUGAACAUGAAGUUAUUUUCCUAUCAAAUUAAAGGUUAAUAAUCUUUAAUCAAACAAUAUUAGUUAUUAAGAAAAUGUCCAAAACAAAGGCCUUGUCUAGUUAAUUUGAAAUGGAAUAAAAUCCUAACUAGAGACACUUUAAAGGGUUGGGCAUCACUCCCAACCGAAUCCAAUCCAAAAAAUCUGAACACAAACCUGAUCAAAUUUAUAAAAAAUACCUAAAUGGAUAUUGAGUUAGCACAAACGGUAUAUCCAAACCUGAUCAUAUAAUAUUUACUCCAUAUAUAUAAUAUCGAAAGUUAAUCCGAGCAUAUCCGAAAUUGUUAACAUAAUUCUCUCCUAAACCCAAAAUAUUAUGUCAUUUGUUAAUAUGUUUUAUAUUUUGUUUAUUUGAAUUUCAAUUUCAUUUUUAGAUAUUUGUGUUUGUUUGGAAAUAAAUAUAAGAUCGGAUGAAAACACUUAAAGAGAUGACAAUAUUUUAGGUAUUUUAAAAGAUUAUGUAUCUGUAUAUUCAGUUAUAUUCAAAUUCUUGGAUUCAAAGCUUACCAAACCGAACCCUACCUAAAAUAUGAAAAGUACUUGCAUACAUAGUUGAUUCUUAGACCAAAUUAUCAAAAAAUCUGAAAUAUCCGAACCAAAUCAAAUCCAAAAAAUAUUCGAAUGCUUAAACCUACUAAAAUUAAACCACUAUUUUUCAAGGUUCUCGGUCUUCUUAAAUUUCAGUAUUUCAGGCAUUGCCUGAAUUUUGUGUGUUCUUCAGUAAUAACUAUCUAUUCUAUUAACACUGAAGUACAAAAAACUUCUUGCCUUUUUUAAAGUGGGUUUCUAACCAUUUAAUUUAUUAUUUUCAUUUAAGUUAAGUGUUUUAUUACAGUUUUUAUAUUUUUUUUAACUCUUCUAAAUUACUUCAUUAAUUGCAUUUACUUUAAUAAUUCAAUGUCAUUUAUUAUGCGUAUUAACCAAAAUAAUUUCACGUGUCAUAAUUGCUCCAUUAGUAAAAAAAAAUUUAAACCAGUUAACAAAUUUUUUUAUUUGUUUACAUAAUCAGUUAGACAUGAGCUUUCAGGUAUACGUUUGGAUAUAGAUCGGUUUUUACGUGUAUCGAGUUUUUGAAUGUUAAAAUUAAACUAUAUUCGAAUAUUAUAAAUUAUCCAGGGUACUUAGUGGGGAUUAUGUUCACUAUAUCUUCAAGUCUUCUGUUAUACUUCUUGGCCAUAACAUUCAUCUUGCCAAAGCAUUUAUUGGUUGGGGCAUUAGGAAGCAAGGCUCUUGCAGGGACACAUCCUACUGGACCUAAAGAGAAGAUGGCGAUGCGACGAGCUCCUAGUUUGUAGAUUUGAUCAAUGGUUUUGUUAACUUGGGUUAACAUUGAGUCUACAUAGUCGUCUGGAGAGAGUGUAGUGGUUUGGAAUGGAAGAAAGUAGUUAAAGAUGUCGUUGGAACCAGACUCUAAUAAGAAGAGAGAUUCUUGGAUUACAGAUUUUUCUAUUUUGUUCUGCUCUACAAGUGUUUGGAAUUGCUGAAGUUGCGUUUGGAUCGGUGUCACUCUCUGGAUUUAUACAUGUAAACGGAUGAUUCAUAAGAAACAAAACAUUAAGAGAGAGAGAGAGAUGUUAUAGUUAUAUAGUUACCAUGUCUUUGUUGGUAUCAAGCAAGAAUCCACUACCGGCACUGGCGAAGUUAAUGCCAUUAGAAGGGAAUCGUUUUAAAGUUCUGUUCAAGAUUUGGAUCUGCAGUUCCAAGAAUGAUUUCUGUAAUGGAAGACCUAUAAAUUGCGCUGCAAGGAAUCAAGAAAAUAGAGAAAAGUAAGGUGUCUUGAGGAAAAAGCAAGUAAUUAAAGAGUUGGGAGGCAUUAUUAUUACAUAUGAAGUCAGCUACGGUUCUUCCAUUGGUGAACCUCCCGGUAGGUUGGUGGAAGAAGGAAGAGCCAUAAGGAGGAAAAUCAGCUUGAGCAGUGCAGUUUUUGUUGAAAUGAUUGUUUCCUGCGUCGAAAAUGGAGUCGCCAAAGGUAAAGAUGGCAGGAAGGGAGGGAGAAGACUUGGCCAGAGCCACGGGAGAGGCUAGAAGGAGCAGAGUAACGAGUAAGUCCAUUGAAGACAUGUGUGAGGAUAAAUUCAAAGACAUUAGUUAUAUAUAUUAACACUCACAUCAUUUAGAUUAGUGUAGAGUCAGUCACACUGAAAUUAAGGUAUGUAAAAAUUUGCAACGGAAAGGCAAGAGCAUUGUUCAUGUUUAUACAGUUUCUCUUUGGUGUGAUUAAAGUUAGAGGUUGUUCCCAAUUUUCUUAGUUAUAGAUGAUUCCUGUGACUGUUCAAUUACCUUAAAAACAACAUUAGAAAAUAAACUAUAUUAUCUAACUAGUAUUUAUUAACUAAUUAGAAAAUAAAAUUUUAAGAAUUGUGUUUCUAUCAUGUUUUCAAUUUCUCUAUUAUCAAAACAUAAUAACUAAAAAAAAUCGAAAUAAUGAUUUGCAAUUUGUCGAAAAACAAAAUAAAACACACUUAUUUUCUUGCAAUUUUAAUGGACCGUAUGGGCCUGACCUCAAAAGCUUAUCGAUUUUAGGACAAAAAUAAUAAAAAAAAACAAAUGGAGAGGCAUCAGGAAAAGGAGACUCUAAAAGAAUAAAAACAUAUUCUCAAAGCAUCAGAAAAUGCCCAAAGCAACAGGGGAGCCUCUCUCCCUCCUUUAUUACCCCCUGAGCCGAAACCCUAAUUUUCAAAAUUCACCAUCCCUAGAUGAAGCGCAUCGUCAGAAUCUCAGUCACCGACGCAGAAGCCACCGAUUCUUCCAGCGACGAAGACACGGAGGAGCCCUGCCGAGAAACAACAACAACAGCCCAGGUCCGCCGCCGCCGCGGGAAACGCCUCGUCAAGGAGAUCGUAAUCGACCCUCCCGACUCCGACGACAACCGCGACGCCUGCAAGACGCGGUUCAAAAUCAGGAUCCCGGCGGAGUUUCUCAAGGCGACGGCGGAGGGGGGGAAGAAGAAGUUCCGCGGAGUGAGGCAGAGGCCGUGGGGGAAAUGGGCGGCGGAGAUCAGAUGCGGCCGAGCUCUCAAGGGACGCCGCGAUCGUCUCUGGCUUGGGACUUUCGACACGGCGGAGGAAGCUGCUCUUGCUUAUGAUAACGCGGCUGUUCAGCUUAUUGGACCUCACGCGCCGACCAAUUUCAGUUUCCCGGCGGAGAGCCAAGAGGUGAAGAUGGUGGCCGGCGCAUCCGCCGUUGCUCGAGUCGCUUAAUUGGGGAUUUGUUUUGUCAUUUAGUUGGUCGUGUUGAAUUAGCAAUGAAGGUCUGUUGUAAUGGACUUUGUAAAUGAAUCUGUCUGUGCUGAAUCUCCUCAUGUUGCUUCUGCUCUUGCAUGUUGUGGUCUCUCUGUGUAUGUGUUUGUUACAUCGACGACGAGAUUGAAACCCUGAAAUAAAGAUUAGGAAAGUUGGGGUUUUUUGAAUCGGGACUUAUUCGUUAUAAGAGGAAACUCACCUGGAGAUAGAUUGGAGAUGUUUUAAGUGAACCAAACCAACAUUCCUAAUCCAAUCAAUUUCGGGUUAGUUAUUCGUUAGAAUUCAGUUUAUAAUAACAAAACGAACUUAAUUGAACUGAAUAUUAACCGAACGAAACCAAAAUAAUGAAGGUUGGGCAUAUAUUCAGAGUUUCGGACCCAUCGAAUUCAAUCCAGAAAAUAUCCAAAAUUAUAUAAAAUGUUUAUAACAUAUUUUUUUCUUAGAUCUAAAUAUUUUCUGUGUGUGUUUUGUUGACAGAUUAAGUGUUUUAGUUAUUUGAACCUCAAUUUAUUUUUUGAUAUUUAUGUUAGUUUGGUCUAAAUAUAAGUUUAGAUGAAAACCCCAAAAACAUUUUAAUAUUAUAUGUAUUUUUGAAUAAUUAAUACAAAGAUAUAAGAUUUUGGUUACACCCAAAGGUUUCUGAAUCCAAAACUUACCGAACCCUCUGAUCCACAGAAAAAAGGAAAAUCUGAAUGGAUAUUAAAUUUCUAAACUGAAUAUUCGAAAAUAUGAAUGACUGGACCGAAUCCAAACGAUAUCUUGACCCUCAUGACUACUUUGAAUAGAGGUUUUUCACUGAUUAGAGUUCAAUUGCAAUUACUAAAAAGAAAUUAACAUAACUGAACCCGGAAAAAUAACUAAACCACUAGUUUGAAAAUAUAAUUUGUAAAUAUGUAAAGCUAUUCGAACACUACACAAUUAUUGUUUCUAUAAAUGUACUUGUGUGUAGUUAUUCAUAUUUUUGUACAUGGAAAAACUUAAAAACAAGAAAAGAAUCAAAUCGCAAAAAAAAAGGAAUCAAAUUGCCUACUAAUUUGUCGCCACCAUAAAAUACAAACAUUGUACUAAUGGCUUCACUAAACUAAUUUAUAUGUUUUUUGCAUCUUUUGAUCCUUGUAUGUGUUCAGCUAUACAUGUUUAAUUCCUAAUUUGCUAGUAGAAGCCUAUGAAAACUUUAGGCGGCCGAAGGAAACGUUUUUUCCUUUUCCUUUUUAGAGGAGUAGAAGAAUCACAAUACGGCUGACCGCUAAAUUCCAAAAGGAAAUACUUAAAAAUUAUGGAGAUUGGAAGCAAACAUCUCUGAAGAAAACAAGAAAAGAGUGAGGAAACACAUUGAGUGGGUUUAAAAAAGGCAUACAAAUUUUCGCUUGUAUCGUUGAUUAUAAAUUUGAAAAUGGGUGGUUCCCAACUUGACAUGAUAUAAAAGCAUGAAGAGUUUUUGUUUUUUAGUGAGUGCCUUGAAGAGGAAGACACAAGCAUCCGUAUUGCCAAUAUAAUCAACAUUGAAACUAAAUUUUAACCAUUUCUAAUAUAUUUUGCUAUUUUAUAGUAUAAAAUAGAAUAAUUGUAAGGUAAAAUUUAUUCUAAUUCACUUUAAAAUAGCAUUCUUAUAUAUUCUAAAUAUAAUUAAAUGUUAUUUUUCUAAAAUAAAGAAAGAGAAAAAACUAUUUCAAAAAAAUGGAUUGGAAUAAAUUUACCUCUAAAUAAUAUUACAUGUAAAUAUAGACAUGAAUUGGAAAUGUUAUAAUAAACAUUGAAACUCUUUUAACCAAUCAGAGAACUAUAAAUUUUGUUCUCUUUUAACAAAUUACAAUGUAUUUAAGUUUGGUAAUUUCAAUACAGAAACUUUUCACCAACGGUUGAUCUCAGAUGCGUUUUCUUAAUUAGGCAUCAGUAUAAUGCCCCAAUUAGAUGAAUGACAGAGAACACAUGCAUUGGUGACAAAGUGAGACGCUGCUGCAUCUUGAAGAGGUAUAGAAUCAUAACACGACACUCCGCUAACUUCCACAAAUAUAAAUAACUCCUACUACUACUACUAUACAAAGUAGGGAGACUUUUAUUAAUAUUCAUCACAAAUCUCGAAGUCUCCGGAGAAACAGCAGAGAACUCAGGAAAAAUGGACACGGCGGAGAAGGGUCUGCUCGCUCUGAGCGGCGGAGGAGAAGAAGAAGUCAGCACGAGAGAUCGGUUUCUCCGGGAGAUGAGGAGGCUCAGUUACAUAGCAGGUCCCAUGAUUGCAGUAAACUCUUCCAUGUACUUUCUCCAAGUCAUAUCGAUCAUGAUGGUUGGUCAUCUCGGUGAGCUUUACCUCUCCAGCACUGCCAUAGCCGUUUCUUUCUGCAGUGUCACCGGCUUUAGCCUCGUCGUAUGAUCUCUUUCUCUAUCCUCUCUUCUCUUGAAAAACCAGUUCUAAAAAUCGCGGCGACCCCCAAAAAAUCGACCACCUAAACAAUAAUCCUCUAUUAAACGCCUAACCUAUUUUUAGAACAUUGCGAAAAACUAUGCCAACUAAGAUUUUGGAGCUAUAUAUAAUUUAGUAAAACAUUUAAUAAAAAUAUUUAGUAAGAAUUUUAAUAAAAAGAAAAGAUCUAUGUUUAUGUAAAUUUUUUAAAAAAAAAUUGUUUACAGUUUGGAUUGGCUAGUGCGUUGGAGACUUUAUGUGGUCAAGCUAAUGGAGCUAAGCAGUUCGAGAAGCUUGGCGAACAUACUUACACAGGGAUCUUCUCUCUGUUCAUUGUUUCUAUCCCUUUGUCUGUUCUCUGGAGUUACAUGGGUGAGAUACUCUCUUUCAUCGGACAAGAUCCUCUUGUUUCUCAAGAAGCAGGAAAGUUUGCCACUAGGCUCAUACCAUCACUCUUUGCUUACGCGACAUUACAACCACUUGUUCGGUUUUUCCAAGCGCAGAGUUUGGUUUUGCCUUUGAUUAUGAGCUCAAUGUCUGCUCUGUGUUGCCAUGUUGUUCUUUGCUGGAGCUUGGUUUUCAAGUUUGGGCUUGGAAGCUUAGGUGCAGCUAUUGCGAUCAGUGUUUCUUACUGGCUUAACGCAACUGUGCUUGGAUUGUAUAUGACGUUUUCUUCUACCUGUAGCAAGACUCGUGGGAAGAUCUCCAUGAGUGUGUUUAAAGGAAUGAAAGAGUUUUUUCGAUUUGGAGUCCCAUCUGCAUCUAUGAUUUG
rnacentral:lncRNA from 1 species